ACCCCACUAUUCACCCUCAAGCACAAUUCUAAGCACUACGGUUACAUAACUAAAACUUAAAUACCAUGGCGGCGUGCUUAAAGUUCAGAGGAACCUACCAGGUAAAUGAUAACCCGCAAAAGAUUCUUACUUCGGCUAAAAGUUUAUAUAUCGCCGUCUAGUAACCUCUCUCGGAGGUUACCUUUAAGACAGGCCAUGACAUAGCGUAUGCCGAAGACUUGAGGUGGGUUACAAUAGUAGCUUCUUACCGAAUUAGCCCUAAGGAGCUAAGGAAGAUGGAUUUGAAAGUAAUGAUAAAAAUAAAUAUAUAGUGAAUAAUAAUAAGCUCGUGUACACACCG
rnacentral:rRNA from 1 species